CCGAUGCAAACUCCGAAUACCGAAGAAUGUUAUCACGGGAGACACACGGCGGGUGCUAACGUCCGUCGUGAAGAGGGAAACARCCCRSAYSGCCAGCUNAAGGUCCCAAAGUCRUGGUUARGUGGGAAACGAUGUGGAAAAAAUGACUUUCGCGAGCAAGAAAGAAGCCGACGCCUACGACAAAAUGCUGGAUCUGGCGGACAACCUUGGGGAGUGGCUGCAGCAGGCG
rnacentral:rRNA from 1 species